rnacentral:rRNA from 1 species
GGGCCCGCACAAGCGGUGGAGUAUGUGGUUUAAUUCGAUGCAACGCGAAGAACCUUACCAGGGUUUGACAUCCUGCGAAUUUCUGGGAAACCGGAAAGUGCCUUUCGGGAGCGCAGUGACAGGUGGUGCAUGGCUGUCGUCAGCUCGUGUCGUGAGAUGUUGGUUAAGUCCCGCAACGAGCGCAACCCACGUCUUUAGUUGCCAGCAUUUAGUUGGGCACUCUAGAGAGACCGCCGGUGAUAAACCGGAGGAAGGUGUGGAUGACGUCAAGUCAUCAUGCCCCUUACAUCCUGGGCUACACACGUACUACAAUGGCCGGUACAGAAAGCAGCCACUAUGCGAAUAG